rnacentral:rRNA from 1 species
GCAGCGAAAUGCGAUAAGUAGUGUGAAUUGCAGACUUUAGUGAAUCAUCGAAUUUUUGAACGCAUAUUGCGCCUUUUGGAAUUCCAUUAGGCAUGUCUGUUCAAGCGUCAU